AAAAAAACGAAACUACAACGUCAACGAGUGGCAUCCAGAUUGCAUGAAUAGGCACCAGUGGUGAUAACUGUGGACAAGAAGCUGCAUGAGAGAUGGUUGAUGCUAUUCGAAGCGGUCAAGUGGAUGGAUUCUUCGUUGGUCUUCGCAAUCAGAAUGCCACUGCUGAUUUCGGACAAAGAAUGUCCUCUUCACUUGAAGACGAGAAUGUAUAAAAUCAGCGGCUGCAAAAUCUGAGAGUGAAUUUCUAGCACUUGAAAAGCAAAUCUUCCAAUAAUCUACUUAUGUAUUUACCAAAGAAGCAAUACAUUUGGCUAAGGCCGCCAAUAUAAUGUUUGUCGUGCUGAGCAUUUAAAGUUAUGGAUUGCUAAUAUGGAAAAAACUAUUUCAUUGUAAUACAAUUUUUGUUGAGUCAAA